rnacentral:rRNA from 1 species
UAAAACGUAGGACGCAAGCGUUAUCCGGAGUUACUGGGCGUAAAGCGCGGGCAGGCGGCUCUGCCAGUCUGAUGUGAAAUCUCCCGGCUCAACCGGGAGCAGCCAUUGGAAACUACAGAGCUGGAGGGCAGCAGAGGUAGGCGGAAUUCCGGGUGGAGUGGUGAAAUGCGUAGAGAUCCGGAGGAACACCAGAGGCGAAGGCGGCCUACUGGGCUGCACCUGACGCUGAGCCGCGAAAGCCAGGGGAGCGAACGGGAUUAGAAACCCCGGUAGUCCUGGCCGUAAACGAUGUUCACUGGGUGGUGGGGGGUUUCCCUUCACUGCCGAAGCUAACGCGAUAAGUGAACCGCCUGGGGAGUACGGUCGCAAGGCUA